GGAGAUGUGCCGGAGUGGAUGAACGGGGCGGUUUCGAAAACCGCUAUGUCCGAAAGGGCAUCGAAGGUUCGAAUCCUUCCAUCUCCG
rnacentral:tRNA from 1 species